GGAGAAGUCGCCCGGUUUCUGCUUGCUGGUCGCGAAAUUUUAUAGCUAUAAUUAACUCAGGGCGGAACAGCUAGCAGAAUCCUCAGCGUUCGGGCAAAGGGCAGAGAAUCCAGCCAGAAGCAACAUGUAGAUCUAAUGACCUUCUCCAGGAGUCGAGGACCCACUACCUCGCUGAAUUCUCAGAGUCAAAAUGCGUCUCUACCUGCUGGUCCCAGAACAGUCCCCUGCUGCUGCAUUGAAUGAAUCUCAUCUCACUUCCUCGAGUCAGCCCUACCUAUAUUUGAUGAUCACAAACCUUAUCCUUACGUUGCCAGCAGUAACAUUCUGCAUCCCUCACCCACUCCACUGUGUCCUUUUCCUCCCACUGAUCUUCACUCUGCCUUUUCUAGGGGAACUCUGAACAGUAUUUCUGAGAAGGGGAUGAAGAUCGUCUCCCAAGUAAAUAUGUUGAGUUUGACUGGGCACCGUGGCCCACACCUGUAAUCCCAGCACUUUGGGAGGCCAAGGCGGGCAGAUCACUUGAGGCCAGGAGUUCGAGACCACCCUGGCCAACAUGAUGAAACCCUGUCUCUACUAAAAAUACAAAAAUUGGCCCGGCAUGGUGGCAUGCACCUGUAAUCACAGCUACUCAGGAGGUUGAGGCAGGAAAAUCACUUGAACCUGGGAAGUGGAGGUUGCAGUGAGCCAUGAUCAUACCACUGCACUCCAGCCUGGGUGACAGAGUGAUACUCCGUGUCAAUAAUUAAAUAAGUAAAUAAAUAAGUUGAGGUCAACUUUCAAAUGAUCGUCAUGAGAAAGCUACACAGUAUUAAGUAAGUGUGGUUUAGCCAGAAGAAAAAGAACCAGGUAGAAUUCACACCCAGCUCUCGGUAGAUGGCAGAUUUCACUUUAGGGAACUGCUUUCCUUUGACCCCCUCCCCACUUGCUUUCUUGGCCUGGGAUCCUCACUCCAGCAUGUCGUGCAGUCUUCAGAAUGCGAUAUCCUUUUCCUUACGACUCUUCUAGCAAUUAAUGUAAUUUGCCUGAACAUUUAAAAAAUGACCUCUCAUAAUUUCAUAAUCUGAAUCUUUAUGUGUCUUUCUUGAUCCCCAGGGCAUAGAGAAGGUUACCUGGCCCAGACUAGAUGUGCAGUAAAUGGUUUUUGUAUGUGUGAAUGAAUGGAAGACUGAAGUUAGUUAUUAUAGAUGAGAUAUUAUGGGGCCAUUCCGAGUCCGGUAUUCAAGGAGUUUGCAAAGUUGCAGAUGACAAGUUUGCUAAUGUGUGCUGAGUGUUCGUGCCUAGUAGCAUGUUAAGUGGUUUGCUUGGGUUGUUUCAUUCAGUCCUCACAGCGGACUCGUGAAUUAAGUGCUGUUAUUAUCACGUUUUUGCAGAUGAGGAAACUGAGGCUCAAAGAAGAUAAUGUGCCCAAGGUCACCUCGCUAGGAAAGAGUGGAGCUGAGAUUUAAACUGUGACUUUAAGCCCAAGUUCAAGGCUUCUUACUAGUUUUAACUACAUUCCCAUACCCCUUUUAAUCAAUCAUGUAAAUAAAAUCUUAAUUCUUUUAAAAAAUUAAUAUGUGUUUCAGCUUGUCCUGUAGAGAAGACUAAUACUUACAAAUGGGAAAUAUUCGUCAAGCUUUAUUUUUUCUAGUUUGUCUUAUGAAAUUAAGUUUUUCAGCCUUUCCCAAUAUAAAGCUAUAUUUUAUAUUAAAUAUGCUUUUUAUUUAUUUUUUUGAGACGGAGUUUUGCGCUUUUUGCCCAGGCUGGAGUGCAAUGGCGCAAUCUCAGCUCACUGCAACCUCUGCCUCCCAGGUUCAAUCGAUUCUCCUGUCUCAGCCUCCCAAGUAGCUGGGAUUACAGGCGUGUGCCACCAAGCCCGGCUAAUUUUUGUACUUUUUAGUAGAGACAGGGUUUCACCAUAUUGUUCAGGCUGGUCUUGAACUCCUGACCUCGUGAUCCACCCACCCUUGGCCUCCCAAAGUGCUGGGAUUACAGGCAUGAGACACUGCGCCCAGCCAAGUCUUAGUUAUUUCUACAUGUAAGUAUUUCAUGAUCCGUUUGUGAUUUGGACAUCAAAUGCUGAGCAUAAUGCUUCGCUGACCUCACCUGAGACCUGCAUCCACUGAAUUUUUACUGUAUGUGCUUAGGGCCGAAUGUAAUUAAAGUCUUGUUUAUUUACUUCUUUUUUUUUUUUUUUUUUUGUAAAUAAGGUCUCCCGUUACGCAAGCUGGAGUGCAGUGGCAGGUUAAUAGCUCAUUGUAGCCUCAAAUGUAGCCUUCCCAGUAGCUAGUGAAGGCCUUUUUAGAGGGGCUCUUGCUUUGAACAGUAGCAAAUAUAUAUUUGCCAUUUUUGUAGUGAGUGUCUGCAUUUGUGCAGUAAAUGAGCUCAUGAGUAAACUGAGGAGUACAUGGACUCAUCUCCUCCUCUUUCUUUUCUUUUUUUUUUGGUUCAACAUAUUUCUGUUGAACAAAUGUACAUACACACUGAACAGCUAUAUCCUGUAGUUCAGUAUAUUUCUGUUGAAUGAAUGAGUCUCUACCACUUGUUUAUAAAUAUAAACAUUUAUGUAAUUUUAAUAGUGAAUAACAUACAUGUUUUGUAACUUGCUCUUUUCAUGUCAGCAUAUACAGAUCUGCAUCGUUAUUUAUAAUUGCUUUAUUGUACUCCUUUGUGGAAAUUCCCCUCUAUUUAAUCUAUUUAAUCUUAAUAGAGGGGAAAUUCCCCUCCAUUUAAUCUGUUCCCUACUGAUAAUCACUUAGAUUUUUGCCUUUUUAUUUUUUGUUUUGUUUUGUUUUCUUUUGAAACAGGGUCUCACUCUGUUGCCCAGGCUGGAGUACAGAGACUCGAUCACAGCUCACUGCAGCCUCAGACUCCUGGGCUUAAGUUGCCCAGGCUGGUCUUGAACUGAGCUCAAGCAGUCUGCCCACCUCAGCUUCCCAAAGUGCCGGGAUUACAGGUGUGAGCCACUGUGCCCAGCCUAUGUUUUUAUAUUAAACAGUGUUAUAGCAAAUACAAGUAUAUGUGCAUGUUUGCAGGAAUCGCUAGUGCAGAGUUUGCACAUUAUGAAUAGCCACUGCCAGGCUUUUCAAGUCCUUUUUUUACCAAUUUACAGUUUCACUGAAUUGGGUGAGGAAAUUUCCUGCCCUACACCCUCUGUCUCACUUUGUUUUGUGCUGCUGUAACAGAAUAUCUGAGACUGGGUAAUUUCUAAAGAACAAAGAUUUAUUCUUACAGUUCUCAACGCUGGGAAGUCCAAGGUCAAGGGGCCCACAUCUGGUGAGGGCCUUCUUGCUGCAUCAUCCCAUGGUGGAAGGUGGACGGGCAAGAGGGCAUGCUUGCCUGCAGGAGAGGAAGAGGGGGGAAGGGGCCUGUACUUAUUCUUUUAUCAGGAACCCCUCCUGCGAUAACUAACGCUUUCAUGAGGGCAGGGCCCCGUGACCCAUCCCCUCUUAAAAAUCCGCCCCCUCAACACUGCUGGAUGGGGAAUGAAGUUUCCAACACAUGAACUUUGGGGAACACAGUCAAACCAUAGCAUUCUGCCCCAGCCCCCCAAAUUCAUGUCCUCUCACAUGCAGAGUACAUUCAUUCCAUCCCAACAGGUUUAAUGUUUUCAUUUGUUCCAGCACCAAGUCAAGAGUCCAGAGUCUCAUUUGAAUCAGAUACAGGUGAGACUUUGGGCAAGAUUUCUCCUAAGGCAGAUUCCUCUCCGCCAUGGGCCUGGGAAAUUAAUGUGCUUCCAAAAUAUGAUGGUGGGUCAGGCAUAGGACAGCAAUUCCCAUUCCAAAGGGAUUCGUUUCCUGUUGUUGCUGUAACAAAUCACCACAAAGUUAAUGGCUUGAAGAAUACAAAUGGAUUAUCUCACAUUUCCGGAGAUCAGAAGUUCGAACCAGAUCUGCCUGCACUACAAUCAAGGUGGCAGCAGGGCUGAUGAAUGCCUUCCUGGACACGUGAGGGGAGCAUCUGCCUCCUCACCUUUUCCAGCUUCUUGGGUCUGCCCAUGUUCCUUGGCCUCUUCCUGCAUUUGUCAAAGCCAGCAGCAUUUAUGCUGUGCCUUUCUUCCAAAGUUGUGUCUUCACGGACUUCCUGGGCAACUAUGAAGGACCUCUGUGAUUACACUGGGCCUGUGGGGAUAAUCCACGCUAAUCUCCCUUUAUGCUGAUUAGCAACUUUCAUUCCAUCUCCAACCUUAAUUCCCCUUUGCUAUGUAAUCUAACACAUUCACAGGUUCUGGAGAUUCAGAAAUGGACAUUACUGGGGAGGGGAGAGCAUUUUUCUGCCUACUCUAGAUCCAAAUGUCAACCCAAGGCUGAACAGCCCUGAUUUCAAAGGACAUAUGCACACAUGACACAUAUCCACACGUACAUGCAUUAUACACACAUACCUGUACACAUUUAGACAGAUAUGUGGAGCAUCUUUACAGGUCAGAACACAAAUAUACACCUCUACCUCCUUUUUAUGGCUGCAGAGUAAGCCAUUCUGUGGAUAUACCAUGUUCUACUUAACUGCACGAAAGCAAGGCAGCACCACCAAACCCUCCAGCCUCAUAUUCAAUCUAACUGAACUGUGGACUGAAGACAGCUCAAGACCGUCAAACCUCCACAUCACAAACGGUUCCUCCAAGGCUGUAGGGAUCUACUUGAGCCUUCAUAAUAGCCAACAGUAGCAGCCAUAUUUGCUAGGUGCUUUCUAUGCCCCAGACACUCACUGGGUUGACACCUACAUCUAUUCUAAUUCUCAAACCAGGCAAAUCGGAUAGGAUCCACUAUUACUCCCAUUUUACAUAUAAGGAAAGUGAAACUCCAAGAGGUAACUUGCCCAGGACCCCAGCACUAAUAAGUGGGAUUGUGGGAUUCAAACCCAGAGGGCUUGACUAGCCACCCCUAGACUUAGUUUAUUUAAACCAGGGAGCAGACUACACCUGAAGGCUCAAUCCAGCUCACUGCCCAUUUUUUAUGGCCAGAAAGCUCAGAAGAGUGGUUAUUUUUAAAUGACUAGAAAAAACCCCAAAAGAAUAAUAAUAUUCGGUAACACGUGAAAAUUAUAUGAAAUUCAAAUUUCAGUGUACAUGAAAGUUUUAUUGGAACACAGCCAGGCUCCUGUGUUUAUGUGCUAUCUAUGGCGGCUUUCAGGCUACAACAGCAGAGUUGAGUUGUUGUGAUAGAUACCGCCGUGUGAUCUGCAGAGCUCAAAACUGACUCUCUAGCCAUUUAUCCUUUCUCCAGUCACAGAGAAUCUGGUCCUCAAUCUUUCUGACUGCUUCACGCUGAGAAGGGGCAUUGUGGGAUAAUGACGAAGAACGAAAACGUCAUGCCUAUAGCUGAAGUACUCACAAGUGCCUGGCUGGCAUCCAGCUUGAUGGAACAUGGGUCUUUGGCUGGGCUUUGAAUACUAACUUAAGGCCGUAGAAGGGUUCACACAACCAUGAGUGUUUCCUCUAGAGGGAUCCAAGAGGGACUAGUUUUACUCCAGUACGGUGAGUCCAUGGGUAACACUGGCAAACUUGACGGAUGGGUGGGUGGUCAGCAGCACCGCAAAGGAGCUGACCCAUUGUGCUUGCAGCUGGUCUUGAGCCUGGUGGGACUGCCAGGUCUUCAGCAUGACCUGGUUCCCCAGUUUCAAAGAAUAAAGAGGCACAAGGAAUUGGAACCUGUUAGAAGCAAACUCAGAGACUAGUUAACAUACUUCCUAAUGAUUUUAUAUAAGAACUAGCUUCUCUUUCUGGAGAGGAAAAAUCCUCAAGUAUCAGGGAAUCUGGAGAAAUGGUCUCCUGUACAGUAUUUCAAAGGGGCUAAGAGCCAACCCAUUUCUGGGGUAUUCAUAUCUUCAGCAGGGCAAGGGGCAAGACUUUUCCCCAAGUAAGAUUUGUCUCCUGGCAACUGGGGUUCCCUUGGUCACAAAUGGGUCUGUUCAGUCAAUGACGGGCUUAGGACUUUAUUUUUAGUUUGGCCCCUUUUGGUCAAGAUAUGCCAGAGGCAGCAUCAAUAGCCAAGCUUUUAUUUUGUCCCAUAUCAUUGCUGGGGUGGUAUGGCUGCCUGCUCUGGGUCCAUCCUAUCUCUCAGUGGGACACUUCUAUGGCCAAGGGACUCAGAAUCAAAAGACUGAUUUUCAAUUAAACAUUCUAGGCCAGAUAGAAAUGGCGGUGGGUAGGCACUCAUUAAUCCUGAAAACCUUUUAAGCAACACAAGGGUCAAAAAGCAAAAUGUAAGAUUAAAAUUCCUGUCCUCUUAAAGCCAGGCCCCCAUGGCUAGUGUACAAAGCAUAUCAGCUGCUUCAUCUGAGGUGCUCCAGGUGGCAUUGAUAAGUGGAGUUGGGCAGUUCCACUUAUCUGGGGUAAACAGAUCUUACAGUGACUUUUAUCCAGUCCACGCUCAGGAAUAACCUCCUGUGUGUCUGAAUUAUAUAUCCUUCUACGACUGUUCAAUUGUGAGCUGUGGGCCCUACAUUAACCAGACAUGCUCUUCCACUCUGCAGCAUUUAAAACAAAAGACACUGCUUCCAAAUUAGUUAUUCUCACAAUCCAUUAUUAGGAAAGGUGCCUCAAGGAAGCUGAUGAUACCAGUCUACAAAAGGGAACACUUCCUUCACAUCACACCAUUUGGCUUCAGUAGUUACUUCGUUUUGCCCUUCCCUACCUUGACUACCUUCUUGGAAACCACAGGUCUAAGAGGCACCAGAAACUACCUCUUUUGUGGGUGGCUUUGAGGCUAGUGAUCUAAACUCAGACCCACAUCUGAGCUUGGUCCAGCCUCAAGGCUUAAUCCAGCACUCUUACUUUAAUUUUAGCUAUUAUAGAUAACAAUAACUAAGGAAUGAAUAUUUCACUUUUUCCUUAUUAGUUUGGAUUUCCUUAUGCAUCCAGUGAUCCAACUCCCCAGGAAUUUGAUCCAUCUUUAAAUUCCACUGGUUCUUGCAAUGGCUUUCUAUUAAAAAGAAAAAAAGUAAAAAAAAAUUAAAACAACAACAACAAAAAAUUCCACUGGUAAACUUUACCUUUAAUAACUGAAUGCAGCAUAGCUGCAGCUCCAGGUUGCCACCCAGGAAUCAUAGGUUAAUGUAAUAACAGGUAUACUACAGUCUUCUUCUGAAACAUAAUUUUUCUCUGGCCAGUUCCCCAUCUCUACCAAAGACAAAUCAUGGUAAGACCAAUUUAUUUGCAAAUUAAGUUUUAGUCUUAUUAUACUUAGCCAGAUUAUUUGCAUAAAGUACAGCAAGAAUUAUUGUCCAUAUAGGCUCUUUUAAGUUGGCUUUGCUGGAACUUCCCAAAAGGAAUCUCAGAUUCAACUUUUAAAGGCCUCUCAAGCUCAGCCAAGAAUGUAUCUGUGCCUGCAGAUACCUGUACAAAUUGGGUGAAUUCCGCUCCUCUCAAGGUCUCAAAGUAACUUUAGAUUCCUGGGCCUGUCAGAAAGUGACAUUCGUUACUUAGCACAGGUCAGGAAUCCUGCAAAGGAACUACAUAGAGAGGUGUGAGGCCAGUCUUUCCAAGGGACAUUUAUCAGCUCUAUAAAGUCAAUCUCAAUUCCUCAAAGCAGUCUGCUUAUAUCUAAAAAUGUCAUUCCAGUUAAACCCUUGGUCAAAAAACCAGUACCUCCAAUUAUGUGCUGUUAUAAAAGAAAACAUUCUUAUUGAACUUAUGCAAAUAACUAUAUUGCCACAAGUUAAGAAUAUUCGCAAAUAGUUUUUGAAUUCUGGAGAAAUCAAGCAGACAGCAAGAAAUCUGCUUUAAAUUUUAUUUACAAGAGUAUACUCAAUUGUUAAGGGCUACAAAUAGCUCAAGAGAAAAAAAAUUUGACACUGAACAACAAAAAGAAUCAGCAAUGUUUCAAACCAAAAAAGCCACAAAAGAAUCAGUUCAGUCCUCUAUUAGCUCAGUCCAUGCAAUUAACUCUUGUUUUGCUUCAUACUGGGUUAGCAAUCUUUAUGACCACAUCAGCCUUUUAAUUAGAGUCCUAGAAGUUUUCUGUCUAAUCCAACAGCACAGUCUUUCUGACAUCAUCAGAAACCUGCAUUCAGGAGUCUUCCAAGGAGCAAAUUUUGGACUGUAGUUGACUGUAAGCCGCUUUUUGAGAAGAAUCCAAUAAAACAAUAAUUGUAGAUGAUAAAAUUUUUAAGACAUUCUAGUCAAAGACACAUUAAAUAUACAAUUGUCAAGGAAAUCUGGUUAUUUCUGUGGCAUACAACAAUUUAACAUAAUACACAUAUUACUAAUGGCAUAUACUAAGACAUAUCAGGAUUUUAGGAGUGCCAUGUAAUUUUGGCACACAUCAAUAACACAUUUAUAUAAAUAUAACCCAAAGAAGGUUAAACACCAUUUCAUAUUUGACAAUGCUUCCUGUGUAAUUUUAACAUACCAAAUAAGCCUAAUAUGUCUCUUUUGGACUUCAGGGGACCGCAUAUCUUUUUUUUUUUUUUUGAGACAGAGUCUCGCUCUGUCGCCCAGGCUGGAGGCUCACUGCAAACUCCACCUCCCGGGUUCACACCAUUCUCCCGCCUCAGCCUCCCGAGUAGCUGGGACUACAGGCGCCCGUGACCACACCCAGCUAAUUUUUUGUAUUUUUUUAGUAGAGACGGGGUUUCACUGUGUUAGCCAGGAUGGUCUCGAUCUCCUGACCUUGUGAUCCACCCGCCUUGGCCUCCCAAAGUGCUGGGAUUACAGGAGCCACCGCGCCCGGCCAGAGGACCUAAUAUCUUUUAAAAAUAUAUAUUAUUUUUUGUUUGUUGUUGUUAUUGGAGACAGGGUCUCCAAAACUCUGUAGCCCAGGCUGGAGUGCUGUGGUGCAAUCACAGCACAGCUCACUGCAGCCUUGAUCUCCUGGGCUCAAGCAAUCCUCCCAUCUCAGUCUCCAGAGUGGCUGGCACUACAGGCACAUGCCACCCUGCCCAGAUUUUCAUGUUUUUUGUUGUUGGGUUUUUUGUUUGGUUGGUUUUUUUUUUUUUUUUUUUUUUGUAGAGACGAGGUCUCACUAUGUUGUCCAGACUGGUCUCAAACUCCUGAGCUCAAGUGAUCUGCCCACCUCAUCCUAUCAAAGUGCUGGAAUUACAGGUGUGAGCCACUGCAUCCACCAUUAAUUUUUCUUUUUUUUGAGACAGUCUCGCUCUGUUGCUGGAGUGCAGUGGCACAAUCUCAGCUCACUGCAACCACCACCUCCUGGGUUCAAGUGAUUUCCGGCUAAUUUUUGUAUUCUUAGUAGAGACGGGGUUUCACCUUGUUGGCCAGGCUGGUCUCAAACUUCUGACCUCAAGUGAUCCACCCACCUUGGCCUCCCAAAGUGCUAGAAUUACAGGUGUGAGCCACCAUGGCCAGCCUUUUUUUAAGUUAGCUUAAGGUCAAAGAGACUGAAUUUACAACUUGAUUUUUUUGUUUGUUUGUUUUAGACAGAGUUUUGCUCUGUCACCCAGGCUGGAGAGCAGUGGUGCAAUCUCAGCUCACUGCAACCUCCGCCUCUCAGGUUCAAGUGAUUCUCUAGUAGCUGGGAUUACAGGCACACACCACCACACCUGGCUAAUUUUUGUAGUUUUAGUAGAGGUGGAGUUUCACCAUUUUAGCCAGGCUAAUCUCAAAUUCCUGAACUCAAAUGAUCUGCCUGCCUGGUCUCAGCCUCCCAAAGUGCUGGGAUUAUAGACAUGAGCCACUGUAGCCGGCCAGAAGUUGAAAUCUUGAUGUUGGGAAGUUCAUCAGUCGAAUAUCAAAAGUUUAAAACAUUUGAUGCCACAAAAUAGGAUCACGGUUCAUUAUAAAAUAGUUAUUCAUUUAGCCAAAACGAUAAUUCAAAGAUUUCCAAAAAAACAAAAAACCAAAACACCAAAGACCUUUACUCAUUGAUAUGAAGGAGACUCAGUUUCCCCAACUGUAAGAUCCAAUGAAGACAGCAGGAAACCAACUAAAUGUCUGUCUCUCUCCUUUUUUUUUCCUGUAGUUUACUUAAAAGGUAAACAAAAAUCUUUGAUCUCUUAUUAAUGUUUUAGGGGUAUUAUUAAUGUUAAAGCUAAUAAAACCUUAUAAACAAAUCUAAUUUUAAUCAGUUUGACCACGAAGUAAGAUUUCCAUACGCCUUGUAUAACCUUUUACAAUCUUCUAUUAAAGAGUAGAUCAGUGGUCCAGGAAAAUUGUUAUUCCGACACAGGGGCCAGACGCUUGCCUGGCCUCAGUGUGCCUUUGAUAUUAAUGUUUACAAAAAAACUCUAAUUUUAUCCCUCAAAGUUGGCCCUUACAAUCUCACACGCCCACCUCUUCCGCGAUAGUCCCUGGGCCUAGGGGGAUUGAAUACUUGUAAUUACUGGCCCUGCGUCUCAUGAAAGCAUUUCAUUUCGAUUGUCACCUUCUCCCAGGUCUGAAGAUGAGGCUUUGACUGGCGUCAGUGUUCAAGAUUUAGCAGGAAUCUGUGCCUUUUUCAGACUCAGGAGUCAAAGCCCUGUAACUUAACGGCAGAAGGACUUUAGAAGCAAUAUAGAAAGUUACAUGGAUGUAAAAACCUUAAUUCUGUUAGAUUUAUUUUUAAGCAAUAUAAAAACUAAUGAUGACAUAAGAAUUAUCAAUAAAACGUAAAUCUGUUCGUUAGGCCAGUUACCAAAAGGCAAAGAAAGACUUUCUGCAGUGUAAUUGCUUCUCCUUAUGGGAAGCCCAUUUAGAUAACCUUGUUGCCCAGGCUGGAGUGCAGUGGCGCGAUCUCGGCUCACUGCAACCUCUGCCUCCUGGGUUCAAGUGAUUCUCCUGCCUCAGCCUCCCAAGUAGCCGGGCUUACAGGCUCUCAACACCACGCCCGACUAAUUUUUGUAUUUUUAGUAGAGAUGGGGUUUCGCUAUGUUGGCCAGACUGGUCUCAAACUCCUGACUUCAGGUGAUCCCCCCGCCACGGCCACCCAAAAUGCUGGGAUUACAGGCAUGAGCCACUGUGCCUGGCCCCAACUCCGUAAUUUGAAUCAACUUUUAGAUAACUUCUGAGUUAGAUAUUAUUCUUCUUCUCAGUAAAGAUAUAACUUCUGUGACACAUUUUAUAUACGGAAUUACAUAUUAACUAGAAUUAUUAGUAACCUUACAUUUUAAUGAAAAACCUAGGAAGCAAGAAAUCCUGAACUGUUUACCAGAUAUUAGCAUUUUAGAUGACAACCUUCCAUAGUUUUUUAAAAAAUCUUUCCCCAUAUCAUAACCCUUUCUUAAUUUAAAAUGACUCAGACAUCUAAUGAGCGCCAAAACCUCAAGAUUUUUAAAUUACAGAAAAAGUUCACAUACAUUUACCCCAUUCCUAUUUUAUGCAUUUUUAGCCAUUUCUCUACAUUAACUAUGAGAACUGAGAUAUUAGACAAAGCCAGUCAUUGCUUCCUUGAUAAUCAUUUUUAUAACCAAUGAAUAUCAGGUGUUCACCUAAUUAAGAACUUUAAAAUUAAAACACAUGGGUAUAUUUGCCAAUAACUCAGAAAAUUCAGCUGUUUUUAUUAAACGACAACAUUAGUCUUAUUUAUCAAAAACACACACACACACUAAGAUUAUUUUCUUCUUGGCUGGGUUUAUAGUCUUAUAACCUUUUCUGUCAAACUCUGACACCUUAACACAUCUAGCAAAUAUAACACCCAGACAAAAAGGUAGGCUGACAAGUCCGAAGACAUUUCUAUUUUACCAAUAAUGUUAAAGUCAGCUUAUUAAAGAUUUACUUAAGUCACAUGAACUUGGAAAAUGACUGGACUUAUUUACCUAAUUUAUGCACACUCUUUUUUAUUUAUAAGACAAUUCGGUACCCUGUGAAAAUGAUACAGAACAUCCAGAGACAUAUACACAAAUACAAAGAUCCAACAGCAUUUACCCUGGAAUUCUAGCCAUUAGAUAGCAAUGCAAACUCACUGGUUUAUGAACAUGUUCACAUGGCUAAACUUUGUUUGCCCCAAUAGGUAAUCCAGUGAAGGCUGUGAACCAAAAUUUUGGGUAAAUCACUUUCCAUGGCAGUUUGAUUUUUAAAGGCAAAACCUCCUCAGACUUUAAAGAAUAUUGGGGCCAAACAGUACCACUGAAGAACAUCACAAGCAGCCAGGCCCAACCUUGCUUAGGACAGCAGCAGAAAAGCCUGGAUACAUGGAACUCCAUCCUGCCUUCCCAUCCAACAGAAAAAUGAACGCAAUUAUAAGACAGCAAGCAGUACAAUUCAAAGACCCUUGGAGAGUCCCGCCUCCCCUGACUUCAAAGAACACUGGAGCCAAACAGUGUUACAAAAUAAUAUUAUUUUCCUUUGUUCCAUUGGCUCAUAACUAUAUUCAGACUAAUUCUAAAGAAUGCACCCAGGUGGGCUACAUUCUAAGAUCAAAUUCUGAUUUCUUGUGACUAUAUCCACACACACACACAUAAAUAAUUAUGAAAAUACAAUCUAACCACAGUAGCGACUAACAAGCCCCCAAGACCAUCCAAGCCAAAACAGUUGAGGUGCUUUCCUCUCACAGUCAGCUGGGCUUGUUCAACCUGCAAAUGCAAAUUCCUUCACAAUUCCCCACCCAAAUUGAGAGAAGCAGAUCCUGCCAUCUGGUACCCACAAAAGACACCGGUCAGAUGCAUAUGUCACAUUUCAAAGGCUGCUCUUCCUAGACAAAUCAGGAACACAGUUAGAGUCAGCAGCAGUGGGGACAAAGAGAGACAGACAGAAAUCCACCUUUGGCCAAAAAAAGGUCAGGCAGCUGCUUAGGAGGGCCUCUGAGACUCUCCCCAUCUGUGGCCACCAGCCAGAGGCAACCCAUUCCUGAUUAGUGGACCAAAAUCUGUUACCGAAAUGCCAGGGGUUCAGUAUAGGUUCAGUAUAGGUUCUGCACAGAAAGCCAAUCAUUAAGAAAAGUAAUGCCGGGGAAGAAAACUUUAUUAUAUUAUGGUUGACAUCAGCCCAAGAGAACAGGAGAUCAGUCUCAAAUCCCUCUCUCCAGCUGACUAAAGCCGGAGGCAUUAUAUAGCGGGGGGAAGGAAUUUAAUUAUGAGCAGGAAGACAGCAAUCAGGCAGGAGUAAGGCAUCAAUUGUGACGAAUGAGGGGUCGGGAGUGUCAGUGUCUGCAUGCAGCAAUCAGGUGAGUUUCUAUCCCUUGGUGGAGGAAGGAACUCCGAUGAGACUCAACAGGGCUUGCUGGGGCCGGAGGGUGAGGGCGAAUGGCAAACAGCAUGGGGAACUUUUUGGAUGAUGGAAACGUUCAGUGUCCUCCUCAGGGUACUGCUUAGGCACAGAUGCAGACAUUUGUCAUAACCCACUGAUUUGUACUCAAGAUGAAUGUGUUUCACUGUAUAAUUUUUACCUGCAUUUAAAAAAGCAAUUGUGUGAAAACCACAAGCUGCAGGAUACAUAGGUACUGUAUGUUACCACUUGGUAAAAAACUGAAGGGUAUGAGCAUUCUCCCUGACACACGCACUCAUGCACACUCAGGAAAAGGCAUUUGGGGGUGGCUGUUUUGGAGCCGGUGUCCUGGUGGCCAGCAUCAGGCUGGCAGGAGCCACGCAUGGCGCUGGGGAAAAUCACUAAUGCAGAGGGAGACGAGGCCAACCCAGAGAUGAGGAAGGUGUAGGGAAGAACAGAGGCCUGCCCUGUUAUUAGGGCUGUCACCGAAGACCAGCCCUAAUGAGGCUCUAGGCCAGGCCUCUGCGUUUCCCGGCAGUGCCCUACCCUGGGUGGGCCUCUGAGCAGGCGCUGCCUAGAAGCAUCUCAUUGCGAGUUUCUCUCCUUUGUUUUAGAGACAGGACCUCCAGACUAAAGUCAGAUCCAACUGCGCUGGAUGUUUUACUUGGAGCCAACCAGAUGACUUCUAUGAACAAUAGGGAUGUCUUCCUGGUUUGGUGGCCUUGACUCUGGCUUAAGCUGUUCCUUGGAGCAAGUGGGCAGCAAUGUGGCCACAUCUCAAGUGUGCUCAUAAAUGGCACAGAAAAGGGGAAGAGUUCCCUAACGGUGAGAUAAAGGAGACUGAAGCCAGUAUGAAAUUCUUAAUAUCAGAGAAUGAGGGACUUCAAAAUCUUUGUAGUGACCUCAGAGAUACGUAGGAAGCAUCAGAGCUUCAGAUAUGGCAGCAAACUACAAGUUAUUGGCAUCAAUUACAACAGAAAGGCAGAAAUGAGCGUUCCUGAAGCAAGAAAGCAAGCACUGCAGGAUCGGUUGCAGGACCGGCAGCUAUUGGCAUCAAUUACAACAGAAAGGCAGAAAUGAGCGUUCCUAAAGCAAGAAAGCAAGCACUGCAGGAUGCGUUUUAGGACUGGCAGCUAUUGGCAUCAAUUACAACAGAAAGGCAGAAAUGAGCGUUCCUAAAGCAAGAAAGCAAGCACUGCAGGAUGCGUUUUAGGACUGGCAGCUAUUGGCAUCAAUUACAACAGAAAGGCAGAAAUGAGCAUUCCUAAAGCAAGAAAGCAAGCACUGCAGGAUGCAUUGCAGGACUGGCAGCUAUUGGCUUCAAUUACAGCAGAAAGGCAGAAAUGAGCGUUCCUAAAGCAAGAAAGCAAGCACUGCAGGAUGUGUUUUAGGACUGGCAGCUAUUGGCAUCAAUUACAACAGAAAGGCAGAAAUGAGCAUUCCUAAACCAAGAAAGCAAGCACUGCAGGAUGUGUUUUAGGACUGGCAGCUAUUGGCAUCAAUUACAACAGAAAGGCAGAAAUGAGCGUUCCUAAAGCAACAAAGCAAGCAUUGCAGGAUCGGCUGCAGGACCGGCAGCGAGUCCUGAAGUCAACACAUUCAGGGAGGCCAGAGGUUCCCAUCCACACUGCAUCCCCUCCAUUCGGGUGGUACCCAUCAUGCUUCCGUGUUCCACGAUGAGUACAUGGGUUUUUGUGACAUAAUUUCAUCACAGCAAUAAAUAGAUAGUCCAAUGAAGUUUUAAAACACAAGUUUCCAGUUGGCCACUGAAGGCAUAUUGCUCAGACUUCUAAAGUAGAAGGAACAAUUAGCUUUGAUGAAAAUGAAAUCUACAAACUACAAACACCAGAUACCAUCCAGGAGCUCAAGCAAAAGAGAAGUCAGGAUACUGAUGACCAUCCCCUGCUCUGACAGCACUUGAGAACUAUCGAGGAAAAUAAGCCAUUAGACUCCAGCACAAUGGCGACCCCACAGGGAAGUGCAGGGUCCCCCCAGGUUGUCACCAUCACCACGGCUCACGUUUAUUGAGCCCUUAUCAAUAAGAGCCUGCCACUGUUCCAGGUGCUUUGCAAGAAAUAGUUGCCUAAAAGUUUACAAUAACUCUAUAUUAUCAUCCUCAUGUUACAGAGAUGUGGAUAAGAUGUGGCACAGAGAAGUGACUUGCCCAAGGUUUCCUGGCUCUGCUCUGAAUCUCGGCAGUAUUACUUCAGGUACCCUGUCCUUAACCUACCUGAUACAUGCUUUACAAAUAUUAACCCACCUAAUCCUCAAGACAACUAUGAGACUGAUACUACUAUUAUACCCAUUUUAAAGAUUAGAAACCUAGGCACAGAGAAGCUCAUUAAAUUGUUGAGCAUUACAGACAUGACAGGAGGGGCCCUGAACACAAACCCAGGGUACCAGAAAGAGAUCCUGAAACUGGUGAUGGCUUCUGAGACCUACUAGAUGAGUUGGAAACCCGGAGACUGGAUAUUACAAGGGCACUCAGGGCAGGGAGAAGAGAGGGAAGAGAGAGCAGGGAGGAGCAGACACAGCUGACAUGGCUGGGGGAGAACCCCACCCCAUUGAAGCUCAGGUACACGGGGCCUACUGAAGUCUGUGAGCAAACUUACUUGCCCACAGGGUGGGCAGGAUUGCCGAGGGCCAGCCCAAUUCCAGGCCAUCAGGUGUGCAGACCCCGCUGAAGGACUGCAGAAAACAUGGAAAGGAACUCUGCUGGACUCCGGGCCUCCAAAUGAGUACCAGACAGCAAAUGUAAAAAAAAAAAAAAGAUCUUCAGAAAGGCUGUUACAUGCAUUUAAAGAAAAGAAAAACAGGCUUAGCAAACCAUGGCCACCCCACGCUGAGAAAGUAUGGUGAGACCCAAUGGAUGGAAACUACUGGAAGGCUGAUUUAGACUUGAUUGAACAGCGUCUUCCGGAGGAUUAGCAGUGCCAGAGUAGAUACCAUUGAACUAGAGUGUGUGAAUGGCAAGGAGGUUUCACCUCUGAAUCGGGGGAAGACAGAAUGUUUUCCCCAUUGGAGAAGUCAGCGACCAUAUUUCCACUAUGGAGGAAUCCAAGAACGGUCCGGCUUGGAUGGCACAAUCCACAUGGUUCUGCAUGACCUGCCACAGCUCCACAUCCAUGGGGACCAACCAGGGCCUGGGCAGCUGCUGGGCUCUCUUCUGAUGUGGACAGUGUCUUGCUCUGUCACCCAGGCUGGAGUGCAGCGGCACAAUCAUAGCUCACUGCAGCCUCAAACUCCUUCAAGGGAUCCUCCCCACUCUGCCUCCCAAAGCAUGAGGAAUAGAGACAUGAGUCAUUACUCCCAGCCAUUGUAAACUUCAUCUCCUUUAACACUUCCAAUAAUUGCAGGACAGACCAGAUAAUGGUUCUUCCUAUCUAUUGCUUCAAGUUUCAUUCUCAUUUUAAGUGAUUUAAGGUUGGCUUCUGUGAUUCUUCCUUAAAGUAAUGUUAAAGGUGUGACUUCAGUUUCAUUUAGAGUUCAUAAGAUGACUCUAAAUGACUAGCCAAGAUGACACAUUCAUCUGGAACCCCAGGGAAGACGGAAGUAAAACCCUCCUUUUUCUCCUAAAUAUCCCAAAAGGUUGGGUGCCCUAGGUCCAAGGGAUCUGCAAGCCUCCUAAAGAAAUUUCCAUUGUCCCUCCCGGCUGGUGUGAAUUGUAAUCUGGUAUCUAUAUCCCAGGAACAUUUAACAAACAUUAAAGAAACACCAUAAAGCUAACAAGCUGUUACCAACUGUGAAGUCAUUAGCUAGAGGAAUCUUGGAUUGUCCAAAAGACUGAAAAAGCCCAGGCAGAUCCCAUCUCUUCCUCAUAACUGUUCCACUGGAAAUUGUCAUUUUUCACAGGAGACUUUUCGUUUUUUUGGUGACAAGGUCUGGCUCUCUGUCACCGAAGCUGGAGUGCAAUGGCACCAUCUUGGCUCACUGCACCCUUGACUUCCCAUACUCAGGUGAUUGUCCCACCUCAGCCUCCUGAGUAGUUGGGACCACAAGAAUGCACCACCACGCCUAGCUAACUUUUUCUUUUAUUUAUGUAUUUUCAGAUAGGGUCUUACGCUGUUGCCCAUGCUGGAGUGCAGUGGUGUGAUUAUGGCUCACUGCAGCCUCCAACUCCUGGGCUGAAUCUAUCCUCCUACCUCAUCCUCCCGAAGUGCUGGGAUUACAGGCAUCAGCCACCAUACCUUGCCUUAAUUUUUAAAAAUUCUUUGUAGAGAUGGAGGUCUCUCUACAUUGCCCAGGCUGGUCUUGAAUUCCUGGGCUCAUGCAAUCGUCCUGACUCAGCCUCCCAAAGUGCUGGGAUUACGUGCACGAGCCAUCAUGCCCUGCCUUAAUUUUUAAAAAUUAACUGUAGAGACAGGGUCUCCCUCUCUUGCCCAGGUUGACCUUGAACUCCUGGGCUCAAACUAUCCUCCUGCCUCAGCCUCCCAAAGUGCUGGGAUUGCAGGCAUAAGCCACUACACCCAGCCUAACAUGAGGCAUUCUUUUUAUUUUUUUUUGAGACAGGGUCUCACUCUGUCAUACAGGCAGGUGGGUGGUGACAGCGACCAUGACCACGGGUCAACCUGGGCCUCAGACACUGGGGAAAGGUGGCCAUGUCCAGUUUUCUCAGGAAAUUAGGAGGCAGUGGACCCCAGGGCUGGC
rnacentral:lncRNA from 10 species